CGGUAACAUUUCUAGCUUGCUAGAAGAUGACGAGUGGCGGACGGGUGAGUAAUGCUUGGGAACUUGCCUUUGCGAGGGGGAUAACAGUUGGAAACGACUGCUAAUACCGCAUAAUGUCUUCGGACCAAACGGGGCUUUUAGCUCCGGCGCAAAGAGAGGCCCAAGUGAGAUUAGCUAGUUGGUAAGGUAACGGCUUACCAAGGCGACGAUCUCUAGCUGUUCUGAGAGGAAGAUCAGCCACACUGGGACUGAGACACGGCCCAGACUCCUACGGGAGGCAGCAGUGGGGAAUAUUGCACAAUGGGGGAAACCCUGAUGCAGCCAUGCCGCGUGUGUGAAGAAGGCCUUCGGGUUGUAAAGCACUUUCAGUUGUGAGGAAAAGUUAGUAGUUAAUACCUGCUAGCCGUGACGUUAACAACAGAAGAAGCACCGGCUAACUCCGUGCCAGCAGCCGCGGUAAUACGGAGGGUGCGAGCGUUAAUCGGAAUUACUGGGCGUAAAGCGCACGCAGGCGGUUUGUUAAGCUAGAUGUGAAAGCCCCGGGCUCAACCUGGGAUGGUCAUUUAGAACUGGCAGACUAGAGUCUUGGAGAGGGGAGUGGAAUUCCAGGUGUAGCGGUGAAAUGCGUAGAUAUCUGGAGGAACAUCAGUGGCGAAGGCGACUCCCUGGCCAAAGACUGACGCUCAUGUGCGAAAGUGUGGGUAGCGAACAGGAUUAGAUACCCUGGUAGUCCACACCGUAAACGCUGUCUACUAGCUGUGUGUGAAUUUAAUUCGUGCGUAGCGAAGCUAACGCGCUAAGUAGACCGCCUGGGGAGUACGGCCGCAAGGUUAAAACUCAAAUGAAUUGACGGGGGCCCGCACAAGCGGUGGAGCAUGUGGUUUAAUUCGAUGCAACGCGAAGAACCUUACCUACACUUGACAUGCAGAAACUUUCUAGAGAUAGAUUGGUGCCUUCGGGAACUCUGACACAGGUGCUGCAUGGCUGUCGUCAGCUCG
rnacentral:rRNA from 1 species